CACCAAACUUUGCUUAUUGUCAUGUUAUAGUCACCUAACGUUGUUUUUACAAUGAAUGGUCACUCAACUUGCUCAAAACCCCUUCCAUCCAUCACUACGCGUUCACCCGUUUGAUGUGCUUCCCAGGUGGCCAGACGGAGUUCGGAGUGACAAGAAACGGAGUCAUAACAUUGCCACGUGAAGAGUUGUGUCUCUGAAAACAACGAUUUCACCCUAAAAAUGAAAAACCCACCUUCAAAUCAACGAGCCCUAAUCUUCCAAACCUCAAACGAACCCUAUAAAUCCCUCCUAAAACUCAAGAUUCAAUCCCUCCCAAACCUCAAACGAACCUUAGAAAUCAAUUUAGGAAAACUACCUCGCUUCAUCUCUGCUACAUCAGCGAAUGGAGAAGCGUAUUAUGUGGUCGUAUGAAGCAUAUUCUUAGCGGCUAGUUGUCUGAUUUUUCUCUCUUUCCUGGGGGUGGUAGGAAUGAGAAAGCUUCUUCAUCCCUCUGAUCAGUGAAGCCUGACCACGUCUGAAGGGGUGUUGAUUCACACACAUGGAUGGAGCGGAAGGAGGUAAAUCAUUUGGCAUAUUUGAUUUUCAAUGAUUUUGCCAUCUAAAUCUUAUGUCAAAAUAUGAGCAAGCCAAAAAAAGGUUUAUAAAUUGCAUUGCUGGUAAAUGAGAGACAACUUGGAGGAAUCAUCUAUUGUUUUAUUUAACUGUAUGAUGAUCAAAUUUUUUGAUGAACCUUCAGCUUUUAGUAUUGAAUUCGAGGUGGCUUUGGUUCAGAAUUCCCAGGAGUUCCAAUUGAUGGAAUACUUCAUUAUUUUUUUUUAUUGAAUUAACUAAUCUUUGUGGAACUUUAAUUGUCUUCCCUACACGUUUUGCCUCUCUACCUUUUCCCCUGGGGAGAGUGUUGUAAUAUCUAGUAGCUUUUGAUUGAAUGCAUUCGUCUGUGGCUUUAUCAUAAUUAUUUGAUCAGUUUUUCCUCAAAUUUGUGUUUAAUUUGGUAAUAUAUUGAAAAUGCAAUUAUGGGGGAAAAUCUAUUGAUUGUUCUAAUUUUAAAAGCUACAACUUUUCUUCUUGUUUAUGUAAUCUGACAGCAGUUUUCUCUAAAAUUUAGCAAUUUUUAAAUAAUAAAGCUUCCAUUUUACUUGAAUUUUGUGAUGUUCAAUUUUUAGUGGCAUUUGUGCUUUAUUUGUUUAGGUAAUAUCUUGAAAAACUCAUUUAUUUGGAAAAAAAACUAUUAAUUGUGCAAAUUGUAAAAGUUGCAGCUUUUCUUUUUCUGCUAACAGGAAUGGUUCGAAGCUGAAUUAAAGCCAGUUGAAUCAAAUUGCAACGUAGUGGUCAGCGAGCAAGUGAGUAAAUAUCAAGUCCUUUUUUACCUCAUUUGGUACAUUUGCUCUUUGUAAUAAGACAUUUGCUGCGUUCGUUGUGUAUUCUACGACAAAUUAGUCUCGUCAAGGGGUAAGAGAUCGACGUCGAUUGAAAAUGCAUUUGAAGAACUACCAAAAAGGUUCAUGUGAACCCCCUUAGUUCAUAAGGACACAAUCACACAACCAAGGUAAGACCAGGCCCAACAGCGAAUAGACCAACAUAUUAUGAAUAAAGGAAAUUUCUACCUUUUGUCAUGGUUGUGUAUGGUGGAUUUUGAUGGUUUUUGGCCUUGAUUUUUGUCCAGAUAGUUUUGAUAAUGUUUUGCUUGAUUUUUUUAGCUAGAAUUUCAUGUGAAUGUUUGGAUGGUUGUAUAUGGUAGCUUUUGAUGCCUUUGUCUGGAUGAUGGAAGUACUUUAAGUUGGAAAUAUAUUCAUGCUUCCAAUUUCAUGUUUAUUGUUUUCGUUUAACUGAAGACAAUGCUAUACUUGAUAUUUGAUUUCAUGAUGUUGUGAUUUCUAAAGAACAAUCUCCAUUUGCCUGUGUUUGUUUGAUUUGAACUAGUUGUGUAUCAAAACUUUUCUAAUGACCUUCUUCAAAUGAUUUGAACAAUCUCCAUUUGUCUCUAUUGUGAUGUUCAUGCUCCCUUCAAUACUAGCAACUGAAGCUAAACUUUCCUGUCAUCACAGUCCAUGUUGUAGGAGUUGCUAUUGGUUGUAUAUAAGGCAGUUAAAUGGGUGUUAAAGGAAGUGAAGACAUUGCUGGUAUGCUUACAGCAAGUAGCUUACAAUCAUUUGAUAUCAAAGGGCUUGUUUGAGUAAUGCAGUUGAGCCUUUUAGAAGCUAAACGAGCUGGGGAUUAAGGUAGCUUAUGAAGUUCGCUUAUUAUAGGCAAUGACAAG
rnacentral:lncRNA from 1 species